rnacentral:lncRNA from 1 species
GAAUUAAGCCCUCAGUGCUGGUUCGAGAUCCUGAAACAGGUAAGAUCAUGGGACCGUAACCCCUUAUCACAUGGGGCAGAGGUUAUGCUUGUGUCUCCACAGAAAGAGGCCCUAGAUGGCUUCCAGCAAAGAGUGUACGGCCUUUCCGUGAAUCCCUACAACAACCAACUACUGAGACCUCUGAUUAUUUUCCGGACCAUCCCUCCAAGCAACAAACUGACGGAUCUCCUGAGGAAGGUCGGGACAACGUAAACUGAACACCGCAGGCGAAAAAGGACUAUAUAUGAACUAGUGCAAAGAAGUAUUAAUUGCAGAAAUUUCUUGUACUUUUUGUAAUACCUGCGACCCCUGGGUCCUGUGUACGUCACACUUGUAAGAGGGAAUGGUGGUGUAGGACGACAUUGCUAGCUGUUGGUGUAAUAACUGCCUCUGGCGCAAUGCUUUUNACUCUAGCAAACCUCACGGGACAAGACACUUUGUGUCUUGCUACUGCUUCUCCUAAUAACCCCUUUUCCACAUGCCUUGUGGGUUUGCCGCUGGAUGUAUGGCCAAUACCUGCAGCGGUCCAACAUGCGUUUCCAAUUAGAAAUGUGUCAAAAAAUGUGACUGAUAAUUGGGAUGUGUGGACUCACUAUCUCCCAACUGCUAACCUAGAGCCGCAAGAGAUUGAGCUUCUCGGAUCAGUAAAAAUGGAUUUUUGUGUAAAAUUCAACUACAUGGGUAAGAAUCUGUCUAAGGCAUGGGAUGUUUCCCCUGUCCAUCCUGUGUUUAGAAACACCACUGCAUGGUGUAAUUAUACGUCAACAAACCUAUCUAAAUCUGGUCAAGUUCCCCUAUCCUUACCACCAGGAAUAUUCCUUAUUUGCGGGGACCGAGCAUGGCCCGCAAUCCCCUCUCAUAUUAAAGGAGGUCCGUGUAGCCUUGGACGCCUCUCUGUCUUAACUCCUAAUACCUCUACAAUUUUACAAUAUCAUCUUUCUCAUAGAACAAAGCGCAGUAUUCAUGCAUAUACCCCCGAUUGUGAUGAUAAUCUAGAUUUUUGGACUUUUAGUAAACGCUUUUCUGCCUCUCUCUUGUUACCUAGCGUGGCUGCUGGAAAGGCCUUGGCAACUUUGGAUAAACUUGGCUGUUGGCUUGCUAAACAGACUAACGCUAGUAGUAAUGCAUUAUCUGACUUUUUGUUAGACGUUGAUAAUGUUCGACAUGCUACACUGCAAAAUAGAGCUGCUAUAGAUUUUUUGUUACUAGCACAAGGCCAUGGAUGUGAGGAUUUUGAGGGCAUGUGUUGUAUGAAUCUUUCUGAUCACUCAGAAUCAAUUCAUGCCAGUAUUCAACAGCUUAAAGCAGGAGUUUUUAAGCUCCGGCAGGAUGAUACUUGGGAUUGGUUAGACAAACUUUUUGGAGGGUGGGGGUUA